UACGUAGGGUGCAAGCAUUAAUCGGAAUUAUUGGGCGUAUAGGGCGCGUAGGCGGAGAUACAAGUCGAAUGUGAAAUCCCAGAGCUCAACUCUGGAACUGCAUUUGAAACUGUAUUUCUUGAGGGUGGGCGGAGAAAACGGAAUUCCACAAGUAGCGGUGAAAUGCGUAGAUAUGUGGAAGAACACCGGUGGCGAAGGCGGUUUUCUAGCUUAUUCCUGACGCUGAGGCGCGAAAGCAAGGGGAUCAAACAGG
rnacentral:rRNA from 1 species